rnacentral:tRNA from 1 species
UGGGGAUAUAGCUCAGCGGUAGUAGAGUGUUUGCCUAGCAUGCAUAAGGUCCUGGGUUCAAUCUCCAGCAA